rnacentral:rRNA from 1 species
UACGUAGGUGACGAGCGUUAUCCGGAAUUACUGGGCGUAAAGCGCACGCAAGCGGUCUGACAAGUCUGGCGUGAAAUUCUCUGGCUUAACCAGGGGGGGUCGCUGGAAACUGUUGGGCUUGAGGCGAUGAGAGGGGUGCAGAAUUCCCGGUGUAGUGGUGGAAUGCGUAGAGAUCCGGAGGAACACCGAAGGCGAAGGCAGUGUCCUGGCGCGUAACUGACGCUGAGGUGCGAAAGCCAGGGGAGCGAACGGG